rnacentral:rRNA from 1 species
CCUACGGGAGACAGCAGUGAGGAAUAUUGGUCAAUGGACGAGAGUCUGAACCAGCCAAGUAGCGUGAAGGAUGACUGCCCUAUGGGUUGUAAACUUCUUUUAUAUGGGAAUAAAAUGUUCCACGUGUGGGAUUUGGUAUGUAACAUAUGAAUAAGGAUCGGCUAACUCCGUGCCAGCAGCCGCGGUAAUACGGAGGAUCCGAGCGUUAUCCGGAUUUAUUGGGUUUAAAGGGAGCGUAGGUGGAUUGUUAAGUCAGUUGUGAAAGUUUGCGGCUCAACCGUAAAAUUGCAGUUGAAACUGGCAGUCUUGAGUACAGUAGAGGUGGGCGGAAUUCGUGGUGUAGCGGUGAAAUGCUUAGAUAUCACGAAGAACUCCGAUUGCGAAGGCAGCUCACUGGACUGCAACUGACACUGAGGCUCGAAAGUGUGGGUAUCAAACAGGAUUAGAUACCCCUGUAGUC